AACCAACUGAAAGUGGCUAUGGCUACAAUCUAUUCUAGGCAUAGGACAUUGUUGUUCCAUUGGAGGGUCCGACCAAUGGACAAACAAAAUCAGUUAAAUUUUGAACCUAUCAAAGAUAAUGCUCGUCUCUCCUUCUUCCUGGGUGGGGCUGUUGAACCUAACCUUUAUUUGGAUUAUAUUAAAGGAAAUGAAGAAAAUAGAAAU
rnacentral:misc_RNA from 1 species